rnacentral:tRNA from 1 species
GUCUCUGUAGCGCAAUGAAUAGCGCGUUGGACUCCUAAUCCAAAGGUCGUGGGUUUGAAUCCCAUCUGAAACG